UGUCCCGUUCCCGCUUAACAAACCAAGCUUUUUCUUCCUUCAACUCAAUCCUGAGCUCAGAUCCCAUCACUCACCGCUAUGGCAGAGGGUACGAUUAUGGUGCUGAAGGUUGAUCUAGGGUGUGAACGCUGUUGCAAGAAGAUCAAGAAACUGAUCUGUAAAAUUCCUGCUUGUUUAGGCAGAAAACC